rnacentral:rRNA from 1 species
AUACGAAGGGGGCUAGCGUUGCUCGGAAUUACUGGGCGUAAAGGGCGCGUAGGCGGACAGUUUAGUCAGAGGUAAAAGCCCAGGGCUCAACCUUGGAACUGCCUUUGAUACUGGCUGUCUUGAGUUCGGGAGAGGUGAGUGGAAUGCCGAGUGUAGAGGUGAAAUUCGUAGAUAUUCGGCGGAACACCAGUGGCGAAGGCGACUCACUGGCCCGAUACUGACGCUGAGGCGCGAAAGCGUGGGGAGC